AUUGAACGCUGGCGGCAUGCUUUACACAUGCAAGUCGAACGGUAACAGGCCUUCGGGUGCUGACGAGUGGCGAACGGGUGAGUAAUGCAUCGGAACGUGCCCAGAGGUGGGGGAUAACGCAGCGAAAGCUGUGCUAAUACCGCAUGUGAUCUGAGGAUGAAAGCGGGGGACCAGGCAGCAAUGUUUGGCCUCGCGCCUUUGGAGCGGCCGAUGUCAGAUUAGGUAGUUGGUGGGGUAAAGGCCUACCAAGCCGACGAUCUGUAGCUGGUCUGAGAGGACGACCAGCCACACUGGGACUGAGACACGGCCCAGACUCCUACGGGAGGCAGCAGUGGGGAAUUUUGGACAAGGGGCGCAAGCCUGAUCCAGCAAUGCCGCGUGCGGGAAGAAGGCCUUCGGGUUGUAAACCGCUUUUGUACGGAACGAAAAGGCUCUGGCUAAUACCUGGGGCUGAUGACGGUACCGUAAGAAUAAGCACCGGCUAACUACGUG
rnacentral:rRNA from 1 species